rnacentral:lncRNA from 1 species
GUAGGUUUGUAACAUCCGCAAAAAUCACCAACUUAAAUCACCCGUUAAAAAUCACUUUCAAAAUCCUUUUAUCGUUGAGCUCAUGGAAAUCUAAAAUCUUCCUGGUGAUUUCGCGGUCCUGGCACCCAAGUCGACAACCAUCAUUUUAUCCUCGCCCGUAAUUUUCGCCACGUGCUGGUCGACAGACCGCCGCGUGUGCUCCGACCGCAUCCGUAAUCGGCUCCCCCUUCUCUUUUUCUCUUUUUCCUCCCAUUUAUUUUUCCCUUUUUCUCUUUCUUUCUCUCUCUCUUUUUCCUUCCUUCUUCUACCUUCUUCCUCCUCCCUCCUUCUUCCUCCUCC